AUGACAGAGCUACAAGAAGAAAGUCAAAUGUCUUCAUGAGUUCCCUUUAACGCUUCAUUGUUAAUAUUCAAACUACAUUUAUUUCCAUAAAUGUUUGAUCGAUUUGUAUAUAACACUGAAGUGUUUGGGGGGACUUUUGGUGUCAUUCUGGCGUAGUUACGAUUAU
rnacentral:pre_miRNA from 1 species